CGCCCUGUCUUCUACCUCCCGUCCGAGUUCCUCUUCAGCACGACACCGCCGCCGCACGAACCCCGCAAGGAUCGCGCCCGAUCUCCCUGACCCCUCCGCGAUUCGGUCCAUCUCAAAUUGCAACGUGAUCUCUACGAAUCCCUCAUCCGAUUCCCCGAAACGCUGCUCGAGUUUGCCCUCGGAAUCGAGCGCGACGACCCCGCUAAUCGCAGCCGCCUGAAGCUACUCCGGCGACAAACUCCGGCCGCCCCAUGCGAACCGAGUCGAGCUCCCCCUGAAGACCCGAUCUCGCCGGAGCAUAGCCGCCGCGCGAGGACGCCUAGAUCACCUUCGACUGCACCUCCGACCUCGCUGUGUCGCACCCCACCUCUCCAGUUAUUUCCCCGGCGCCUAUGGCCACAAGGAGCGACACCAUCGCCGAUCAGAGCUGCUCCACGACGGUCCCCAUUGUUUCCGGCAGUUUUUUUUUUCGGUGACAGAUUUUCAACCCAAUUUCGUUUUUGACAGAUUUUCAACCCAAUUUCGUUUCGCUACAUCUGGUGAUCCGUAUAUUCAAAUCGAGUGAUUCUUUUUCCUACAUGAUCACCAUGACCUCUACUAUCCCGUAGAGUAAAUAUUUCAAUUGUUCAAACUUUUCAAAUUUGAGCGAGUCAAAUUUGAAUUCAAACUUUCAUAUGGUGAUAUCUUGCAGACCGUAGCACAUUUUCAAUUGAUUCCUUUUGCCCGUGAAACACUAGUACCAAUACUUGCCGAUCACAUCCUGUAUACUCAAUAUUCAAACACUUUUUGACCUGUUUCAAAUUCAAAUUCAGUUCAUACUUCAUCUCGCUAUAACGUAUGUUGUAGUAUUUCUUUUUAAUUAAUUCUUUCGCCAAAUGUGUCCUUAUGCCAUAUGCAGUAUGACACACAACUUGCAUGUUGCUCUCCAAAUACUUUUGACCUUAUUCUAUAUCAUCUCAAACAUAAGAUUUUAUGGCAAUAUCUCUCUCUGCAGUAAAUCUUGUGAGUUGAUCCUUCCACCUUUCACCCUAUAGCACAUAGAGACCUAUAUUAUAUAUUACAAGCCUAUAUAUAUUGAUGUUGUUCAACCUUGCCAUAUUUGUUUUGUUAUUCUUUUGGUUCUUCUUCAUGGCAUGGUUAUUUAUUUGGAUUCUUUCAUUUGCGAUAGAUUGCUCGGAGCGUGACGAGUAGAAUUAUCAGGAAUUGUGAGUGCGAAGAACUUCAUCCAACGUAUGAAUCAAUUCGUGUAUACACUGAGCUUAUGUGAGGAUUAUAUAUAUAACAAAUUGAGUAGUAAUUAAGGAUUUAAUUCACCUCUGGACGGACAGGGUUGUAUCAUGGUUUCUUGUUCCUUUUCUAAGGACAUGCGCCAUGGCUAAGUGCGCCCGAAUAGUAUUGCUGGGUGGUUUCAAGAACAUCAUGGUUUAUACCCUCUGAAUGUAAGUGGGUGUCGUCCAGGCUUAAAAAGGUCAGACAGACUUAGUGACUAGUAGCUUCCAUGUAUAGCCACUCGCUAAUAUGGGCUCUGGCUUAGUUGAUCAGUUGCGGAAACCUUACCCGGAUGGGCCUCCUGUGGGACUAGGAGACUGCUUCUGAAAGACUUUGUCUCAAUCUUCGGGUUGAGUCCAGUGGGUAAAGUGCGCAAACCUGUGCAGAGUGUAUAAACUAAUCAUGAUUAGUCGUGUCCCCAGUUAUGGACAUAUUUGAGCAACUAUGCCAUUACAGUUGUUGGAUGAUCUUGACAGAUGAUACAGUUACUAAAACUUGAUGGGAAACUUAAUAAUGGGGAUAGGUUGGAAUUGGAUUGCCCAAUUCAACCAUGUGUAUUAUUUGUAGCAAGACAUAAUUAAAAUUUGACUAUUAUAUUAUGUAGUUAUCAGGGGAAAAUAGCUUUCUGCAAAACAACCACUACAUUAUCCUCUUGGUAUACCUUGCAUAUAGAAGUAGGUCUGUUAUAUCAUUCUCCGUGUGACUUGCCAAUACAUUCAAAGUAUUGACCCUUCGUGGCUGCAAUGUUUUAUGUUGCAGAUUUCAUACGACGAGUGAGUGAUCUGAUGUAGGGUUACAAUGUCUAUACUUGACAUUUGCAUGUGGUGUUGAUGGACUUCAUGAAGAUUUUAUUUGCUUUUCCGCCAUAUAUUUUUAUGAGCUAUGCAGGUAUGUAUUAUAUUAAAUUCUGGAUCUACGAUGUAAUAUUAUGACAUGUGGUUUAUUCUUGAUAUUACAUCUUA